rnacentral:rRNA from 1 species
ACGGAGGGUGCGAGCGUUAUCCGGAAUCACUGGGUUUAAAGGGUGCGUAGGCGGCGAGGUAAGUCAGUUGUGAAAUUCCCCGGCUCAACCGGUGGGACUGCGAUUGAUACUGCUUUGCUUGAAACAGGUUGAGGUAAGCGGAAUGUGACAUGUAGCGGUGAAAUGCAUAGAUAUGUCAUAGAACACCGAUUGCGAAGGCAGCUUGCUGGGCCUGAUUUGACGCUGAGGCACGAAAGCGUGGGGAGCAAACAGGAUUAGAUACCCUGGUAGUCCACGCCCUAAACGAUGUUUACUUGCUGUUCCUGCCUUGAGCGGGAGUGGCGUAGCGAAAGCGAUAAGUAAACCACCUGGGGAGUACGCCGGCAACGGUG